rnacentral:rRNA from 1 species
CCUACGGUGUGCAGCAGUGAGGAAUAUUGGUCAAUGGGCGGAAGCCUGAACCAGCCAAGUAGCGUGCAGGCUGACGGCCCUACGGGUUGUAAACUGCUUUUAUACGGGAAUCACGCGCCUUACGUGUAGGGCUUUGCAUGUACCGUAUGAAUAAGGACCGGCUAAUUCCGUGCCAGCCGCCGAGGUGAUACGGAAGGUCCGGGCGUUAUCCGGAUUUAUUGGGUUUAAAGGGAGCGUAGGCCGCAUGUCAAGCGUGCUGUGAAAUGUCCGGGCUCAACCCGGGCCUUGCAGCGCGAACUGGCGUGCUUGAGUCCGCGGAAAGCAGGCGGAAUUCGUCGUGUAGCGGUGAAAUGCUUAGAUAUGACGAAGAACCCCGAUUGCGAAGGCAGCUUGCUGCAGCGGAACUGACGCUGAUGCUCGAAAGCGCGGGUAUCGAACAGGAUUAGAUACCCCGGUAGUC